rnacentral:rRNA from 1 species
AGAGUUUGAUCAUGGCUCAGAACGUACGCUGGCGGCACGCCUUAUACAUGCAAGUCGAACGAAGUAGCAAUACUUAGUGGCAGACGGGUGAGUAACAUGUAGGUAUCUUCCCUUUGGUGAGGAAUAACACGAGGAAACUUGUGCUAAUACCUCAUAAGUCUUUACGGAGAAAGCUUUAUGCGCCAAAGGAUGAGCCUGCACUUGAUUAGUUUGUUGGUGGGGUAAUGGCCUACCAAGACUUUGAUCAAUAGCUGAUCUGAGAGGAUGAUCAGCCACAUUGGGACUGAGACACGGCCCAAACUCCUACGGGAGGCAGCAGUAGGGAAUAUUGCACAAUGGAGGAAACUCUGAUGCAGCGAUGCCGCGUGAGUGAAGAAGGCCCUUGGGUUGUAAAGCUCUUUCGUCGGGGAAGAAAAUGACUGUACCCGAAUAAGAAGGUCCGGCUAACUUCGUGCCAGCAGCCGCGGUAAUACGAAGGGACCUAGCGUAGUUCGGAAUUACUGGGCUUAAAGAGUUCGUAGGUUGUUAAAAUAGUUGGUGGUGAAAUCCCAGAGCUUAACUCUGGAACUGCCAUCAAAACUUUUUAGCUAGAGUAUGAUAGAGGAAAGCAGAAUUUCUAGUGUAGAGGUGAAAUUCGUAGAUAUUAGAAAGAAUACCAAUUGCGAAGGCAGCUUUCUGGAUCAUUACUGACACUGAGGAACGAAAGCAUGGGUAGCGAAGAGGAUUAGAUACCCUCGUAGUCCAUGCCGUAAACGAUGUGUGUUAGACGUUGGAAAUUUAUUUUCAGUG